GCUCAGACAGAAGCUCCCAGGGCAGAAGAAAGAACUCGCCAGACAAAUGGGGAGAGACAGGCACAGCAAGGAGCCCAGAGAGGGACGAUUGAGCAAGCACCAGGCUCAGAGGUUCCACGAAAUGCUUCAGUCAGCAUGUCCCCAGAAUAAACAGGCAUUGAAGCCAGAGCCUGAUCCAACAGCAUUUAGAGCAGCGAUUUCCUAUGGUACACAAGCCAGACCACCACGGAUGCUCUGGGAUGAAGCCUUUGAAAGGUCCUGUGCUUCAGAAACAGUGGGGCAUAGAGGACAGACACCAAAUACCAGCACUGGCCAAAUCCUGACUGCAAGAGUCCCACAGAGCCCCAGCCUUACCCAGAAACAGCUGUACCCUGGGGUUUGGCUGCAGCUGUGCUCUGGGAAAAACAACAUUUCAGAGUCUGAACAUUUUGAGCUUUGGGAGACAGAGAAGCUGCAAUGGGUGUACAACAGAACUCACUACUGAGAGAGUGUGAAUUCACUACUGCAGAAGGCUGGAAGCUGGCCCCUGGCUGCCCAGGCCAGAGCUGUUCCUGCUGCCUGGUUUAUUCUUCCUUAGUCUGAGCAAGACCUUCCACCCCUGUGCCAGGACUGAACAGUGCACGCCGUGCCUGAAACAAAGGAACCCUCCCUUCCCACUGUCUCCACUGAGAAAGGAAUCAACCACCCAACCAGCAACACUGAAAAACCAUGAUCACAAUUCAACUUAAAUAAAAUGUCUUAUAGCA